rnacentral:rRNA from 1 species
UGGGGAAUCUUCCGCAAUGGACGAAAGUCUGACGGAGCAACGCCGCGUGUAUGAUGAAGGUCUUCGGAUUGUAAAGUACUGUCAUUGGGGAAGAACGGUUUUCUUGAAAAGAUUGAGAAGACAUGACGGUACCCAAGGAGGAAGCCCCGGCUAACUACGUGCCAGCAGCCGCGGUAAUACGUAGGGGGCAAGCGUUGUCCGGAAAUUAUUGGGCGUAAAGGGCGCGUAGGCGGGCUUUUAAGUCCGGUGUGAAAGAUCAGGGCUCAACCCUGAGAGUGCAUCGGAAACUGGAGGCCUUGAGGACAGGAGAGGAAAGUGGAAUUCCACGUGUAGCGGUGAAAUGCGUAGAUAUGUGGAGGAACACCAGUGGCGAAGGCGACUUUCUGGACUGUAACUGACGCUGAGGCGCGAAAGCGUGGGGAGCAAACAGGAUUAGAUACCCUGGUAG